CCAGUACAAGGGUUUGACAAGCCUACUGAUAAAAUGUAUCAACAAGAGCUGCAUGGACCUGCUCUUUUUUGCUGGCUCAGGUUCGCCUUGGCAUCUGCUUUCUGAGUCAGGUUCAACAACACAAGUUUGUCUACUUACCGUACUGGAUUUGAGCUCAUCCCCAUUUUCCUCUUCGGAUUCUAGUGCAACAGGAGUCCCUGCAGACUGCUGUUAGGAAUUGUCAGACUGGAUGAGAGUGAAGGUCCAUCUAAUCCAGGAUCCUGUUGCUGAGAUGCGCCAGCACCAGAUGCUUUGAAGAAGGUGUAAGAACCCUGCAGUAGCAGGGUGCAGCUCCUGGGAAGAGUCAGCCUGGGCAUCUCCCUCACCAAACUGAACUUACUAUGGGUGCAUCUACAGUAUAGAAAUUGGAUUCCUCCACUUCAGCAACAGAGGGCCAAGGAACCCUACCAACAUCGCCUCCUGCUCCUGCAGCACCUGGCUUUCUCUUGAGGCCUCCCAUCCAACGCCUGACUCCACUCAACUCGUGAAUGCUGACAAGUUCACACCUGGAGGUUACAGAGCUGCAGCACGCCUGCAUUGGUCUUUCGGGACAGAUCAGUGACACACCCCAAUACACGAGUGCGUUAUCACCAUGGGAUGAAGAAUUCACCAAUGCUCAGAUAAGGCACCUCCUAUCAGAACAAAAGGAAUUCUCUGGAUCUUGCUAAAAGUCUCGUGGGCGGCACAGAACAGGCACUGAGCUUAGCAGCGCUACGAGAAGCGUGAGAUAAGGCACACGCAGCUCCCGUACCUGAGAUACCAACACUAUGCCACCCAGUUUUUGGACCUGAGAACAUCCUUUGAACCUGCCGCUGGUGUGGCUGAGCUGCUGUGACUUUGACCUUUCACCUCAGGGCAGAGUUGGCUUCAGAUGAGAAUCAUCUAUUCCGUGAGUUCAGCAUGAACAAUUGCCACCCUUAGCAAACAGAGAGAUGUUGAUAUCUAUGCAGAGCCGAAUUCUAGGCGGGUUUAGUGCAACCAAAUUAUCACAUUUGUUCACCUUCAUAGCUUUAGUGCCCUGAAAGAUCCUCUUCAUACACCUGACCAGGACUUUGGAACAAGUAAUGUUGAG